AACGAACGCUGGCGGCAGGCUUAACACAUGCAAGUCGAGCGCCCCGCAAGGGGAGCGGCAGACGGGUGAGUAACGCGUGGGAAUCUACCCAUCUCUGCGGAAUAACGCAUGGAAACGUGUGCUAAUACCGUAUACGUCCUUCGGGAGAAAGAUUUAUCGGAGAUGGAUGAGCCCGCGUUGGAUUAGCUAGUUGGUGGGGUAGAGGCCUACCAAGGCGACGAUCCAUAGCUGGUCUGAGAGGAUGAUCAGCCACACUGGGACUGAGACACGGCCCAGACUCCUACGGGAGGCAGCAGUGGGGAAUAUUGGACAAUGGGCGCAAGCCUGAUCCAGCCAUGCCGCGUGAGUGAUGAAGGCCCUAGGGUUGUAAAGCUCUUUCACCGGCGAAGAUAAUGACGGUAACCGGAGAAGAAGCCCCGGCUAACUUCGUGCCAGCCGCCGCGGUAAUAC
rnacentral:rRNA from 1 species